rnacentral:lncRNA from 1 species
GUGAUUCAGAACUCGUUUUUGUUUCAAGUCUUAAAAAUCUUGCCAUGCAUGAUAAACCUCUUAAGCAAGACACUGUACUCUGGAAUGUGUGCGUCGAUGCGGACUCCAGGCCUCGCCGCCGAGCCGGGGUCAUUGGCUGAGGCUGUAUGGAUAGUGUCAUCCUUAUUUUGUCCUGCUGCUUUGUUUCUCUUCCGGGGGCACCGUUGCUACACAUCCUGGAAUUAAAGGCUGAAAGCAAUGAUAGGCCACUUGAAUUUGGGGUCUUGGUGGAUGGAGACUACCUUCUCAUCCAAAGAUGUGGCCAUCAAGGAGAAGUCUUUCCCAUCGUAAAUAUCCAAGGGCGUGACUGAGCCAUCACUGAACUGGACCCAGCAACUGAUGGCUGCUUCCUAUGGAGAAAAAUAUGUGUUGUUAUAAAAGGAAGAUGGGCCCUUGGGCUGUUCAGAAUCAACUUCUGAA